GCGGGCGUGGCGGAACUGGUAGACGCGCUGGUUUUAGGUACCAGUGUCGCAAGACGUGGGGGUUCGAGCCCCUCCGCCCGCACCA
rnacentral:tRNA from 16 species